GAUGAACGCUGGCGGCGUGCCUAAUACAUGCAAGUCGAGCGAACAGACGAGGAGCUUGCUCCCCUGACGUUAGCGGCGGACGGGUGAGUAACACGUGGAUAACCUACCUAUAAGACUGGGAUAACUUCGGGAAACCGGAGCUAAUACCGGAUAAUAUAUUGAACCGCAUGGUUCAAUAGUGAAAGACGGUUUUGCUGUCACUUAUAGAUGGAUCCGCGCCGCAUUAGCUAGUUGGUAAGGUGACGGCUUACCAAGGCAACGAUGCGUAGCCGACCUGAGAGGGUGAUCGGCCACACUGGAACUGAGACACGGUCCAGACUCCUACGGGAGGCAGCAGUAGGGAAUCUUCCGCAAAGGGCGAAAGCUUGACGGAGCAACGCCGCGUGAGUGAUGAAGGUCUUCGGAUCGUAAAACUCUGUUAUUAGGGAAGAACAAAUGUGUAAGUAACUAUGCACGUCUUGACGGUACCUAAUCAGAAAGCCACGGCUAACUACGUG
rnacentral:rRNA from 1 species